rnacentral:rRNA from 1 species
AGAGUUUGAUCCUGGCUCAGGAUAAACGCUGGCGGCGUGCCUAACACAUGCAAGUCGAACGCCCUUAGCAAUAAGGGAGUGGCGGACGGGUGAGGAACACGUGGGUUAUCUACCUUGGGGUGAGGAAUACCGGCGAGAAAUCGCCGACAAUACCGCAUAGGUUUCGCAAGAAACAAAGCUCAGGAAUGAGCGCCACAAGA